GAACCGGUUCGGUUUAAGAGGUACUAUAAAUAUGAAGAAAAAAAACUUAACCCUAGACCUAGACACUCUCACUCCAGCGACUCCUUGCAGCCGCUCCCUCAUCCUCACGGCCGCACCUCACACAACUCACACUUUCACUCACUCUGCAACAAAAUCAAGUUAAUCUAUCUUCGAUUCUUCAUCUAUAUCCCUCUUUGGCUCUCCCACACCAUUUUCAUCUUCAAAACUAACAACCUAGCCAGUCAGCCACGAGUCGCAUGACACACACUACACUGGCACACCGAACCUCCAGAGUCCAAAUUUAGCAAACCAGUCCCUCCCUCUCUCACACCUGACCUUGAAUCGUGUACCAACUCACACCAGGUAUGAUUUCUUUUUUCUGUCAAUUUCUGUUUUUAUUUUUUUUAACAUAUGCUUUGUGAUUCUGUGUAUUUGUUGGUUGAUUUUUUUUUUAACACCAGAGUCUAAAUCUAGCAAACCAGUCCCUCCCUCUUUCACACGGGACCUUGAAUCGUGUCCCAACUCACACCAGGUAUGAUAUCUUUUUUCCAUUAAUCUCUAUUUUUAUUUUUUUUAACAUAUGCUUUGUGAUUCUGUAUAUUUGUUGGUUGAUUUUUUUUUUUAACACCAGAGUUUGAGUAUUUUAUGUAUUUUGGUUGAUUUUUUUCUGCAUUAAUAAAUCUAUUGUUCGUGUAGUGUGUAUUCUGUGAUUAGCGUAGGGAUGAUUUUUAUUUGUGCAUUCUGUGUAUUCUGUAUGAUUUUGUUUCUGUGUGUUCUGUGUAGUGUGUAAUGUGUAUUCUGGGUAAAGCCCCGCAUUGUCAUUCAUUCAUUUUUGUGUAAUGUGAUUGUGUGUCCUAUAUUUAGUCAUUAAUUUCAUUAAUUUUGUCACUAAUUACGUGUGAUGUGAUUGUUUCUAAAACUUCUAAAACUUCUAAAAUUAAUGACUAAAAAUGGUGUUGGCAGUCUAAUUUCUAAAACUUUUGUUCCAUAUCAAAUGCCUGGUGUAAGUAGCUGCUACAUGGGCAAUCCUCACUGUUAACACUGGGAAAACACAAAAACAAGAAUUAAAUCUUUGAAAGCUUGGUGUUAGUUUGAGGUGGAAUGUUUAUUUUUUUUAGUAUUGAUGAACAAUUAGAGUUGUCGGUUUGAUUGGUCUCGUGUAUGACUAAAUAUUAUCUAAUUGAUACUCCAUUUUAAACAGGAAACUUGUGCAGCCUGGUCACUUGUCCUGGAGAAGCUAGUUUUUGUGCCUAUGAAUGUUUAGAAAUUAGAAAUUAUGUUUUUCUUUUCUUAUUGAUUUGAAAAUAUGUACUCUUCAAACUUGAGGAUAUAUGUUGACUGUGUCUUGUUGUUUCAUUGUAUUUGUGAUUUUCAUGACUGUUUAUUUGUGUUAUUGCAAUCUCUUGUUGUUUGAAUCACUUCCUUUUCUUCUACUCCUGGAAUUGUAGUGAAGUUCUUGGAAUUUAGAUGUUUGCUCUUGGCAUUUAGAGAGAAGUAGAAAUGCUGUCACAAAACUUGAUAGUGCCUAUGCUUUAGUUCAGGUGUUAUAGGGUGGGUGGGAAGAAGUUUAAACCUUACUAAUCAAGAUGGAAACAAGGUUUGAAUUUACAUCAACAUAUACUGUACUUGUUACUAAUACAACUAUUUGUACAAUGCUAGAUGGAUAGUUUUGCUAACAUCUAUUGCUGUUAUUGUUAGCUAUGGGAAAUUUAUGAGUUUCUGUCAUGUUGCUUCCCCAUGAACCUCCAAUUAUAACUCAUGGUGGUCUUCUAGUCCGUCCUCUAUCUAGUGGACUGAUCUGUGCCUUCUUAUGUACAUACCAGGCAUGUGAUAUGGAACAAAAGAUUUAGAAAUUAGAUUGUGUGUCCUAUAUUUACUUAUUUAGUCAUUAAUUUCAUUGUUUCUGUGUAAUGUGAUUGUUUCUAUGUAAUGUUUUGGCUGAUAUUACUUUCUAUUUUGUUUUUUGUUUUUGCCUGACAUUUAAGUUUUUAUUAGUUUGAUAGUCUCUUUGAAUUUAUCAAGGUUCAAGAGGCUUGAUAAAUGAUCUUGAAACCUACAAAAACCUUGAGUUAGGUAAAAAAAAUUUAGAAACUUGCACCUUUUAUUUUGUAAUUUAUUAAUUAAAUUAUUUGCAAUCAUCUAACAUGUCUAAUUUUUUAUUUUGUAGAAUUUGGUGGAAAGUUACAUGUAGCAUCGGAUGAUAAUUAGUUCAGAAGUUACUUUGAUGGUAAAAUACUACUUUUUAUUUUUACAUAUUCAAAUUUAUUUUAUCAUGUUAUAAUUUUAGAUCUUGAUUUCCAGGUUUUGAUGUCAAUGGUAUUACGGAAUCAAAGUGCAAUGUUCUUGUCAUCUUGAUGUGCUUUUUGAUUGGGAUGAUGUGCACAAUGAAGAUUUAUAUUUUUUGCAUGAAGUGUUUUAUUUUUUAUGGCAAUGUUAUUUGUUGUUUUUUUUUUAAGCCCUUUUGAAGGCAAAGCUUUGUAAUUUAAAUUUUAAUUUGGUGUGUGUUAUUUAAACUUUGAUGCAUGAGGAGUCCAAACUUCAAAACAUAAAUAUUAGAAAGACUCGCAACAUAUUAAACA
rnacentral:lncRNA from 1 species